CCUCCCUAGAGAUAGGGAUUUCCCUUCGGGGACGAAAGUGACAGGUGGUGCAUGGUUGUCGUCAGCUCGUGUCGUGAGAUGUUGGGUUAAGUCCCGCAACGAGCGCAACCCUUGAUCUUAGUUGCCAGCAUUAAGUUGGGCACUCUAAGGUGACUGCCGGUGACAAACCGGAGGAAGGUGGGGAUGACGUCAAAUCAUCAUGCCCCUUAUGACCUGGGCUACACACGUGCUACAAUGGAUGGUACAAAGGGCAGCGAAACCGCAAGGUCAAGCAAAUCCCAUAAAACCAUUCUCAGUUCGGAUUGUAGGCUGCAACUCGCCUACAUGAAGCCGGAAUCGCUAGUAAUCGCGGAUCAGCAUGCCGCGGUGAAUACGUUCCCGGGUCUUGUACACACCGCCCGUCACACCACGAGAGUUGGUAACACCCGAAGUCGGUGAGGUAACCUUUUGGAGCCAGCCGCCGAAGGUGGGACCAAUGAUUGGGGUGAAGUCGUAACAAGGUAGCCGUAUCGGAAGGUGCGGCUGGAUCACCUCCUUUCUA
rnacentral:rRNA from 1 species